UCAGGAUGAACGCUAGCUACAGGCUUAACACAUGCAAGGUCGAGGGGCAUCAUGGAGUUGCUGCAAACUCCGAUGGCGACCGGCGCACGGGUGAGUAACACGUAUCCAACCUUCCCUAUAGUAGAGGAUAGCCCGGCGAAAGUCGGAUUAAUACUCUAUGUUUUCCGUUGCAGACAUCUAAGAUGGAACAAAGGCUUGCCGCUAUAGGAUGGGGAUGCGUCUGAUUAGGUAGUCGGCGGGGUAACGGCCCACCGAGCCUUCGAUCAGUAGGGGUUCUGAGAGGAAGGUCCCCCACAUUGGAACUGAGACACGGUCCAAACUCCUACGGGAGGCAGCAGUGAGGAAUAUUGGUCAAUGGGCGCGAGCCUGAACCAGCCAAGUAGCGUGCAGGAUGACGGCCCUAUGGGUUGUAAACUGCUUUUAUGCGGGGAUAAAGUUCACUACGUGUAGUGUUUUGUAGGUACCGCAUGAAUAAGGACCGGCUAAUUCCGUGCCAGCCGCAGC
rnacentral:rRNA from 1 species